rnacentral:lncRNA from 1 species
UGUGACUCUGGCUCUUCCCUAAAGUCACAAUGACCAUGAAAGGGAGAUGUUUUGAGUCCAUUCAGGACAUCGAGCCAGCCAGGACAGCGCAGCUAAAGACCCUCAGGACAGAGGACUCCAGAGCUGCUGCAGGAAGAGGACAGAUGAGUAGUGCACAAGUCUAAAACCCUGAACCUCAUGGAUCCUCUCUGGAAGUCACACCAGUGUCAACACUAAGCCUGCAUCCUGGCCGUUCUCACCAACAUACCCUUCCUGAGAAGCUGAUAAAAAGCAAGAAGGAGCUAAUAACAUCCUUACUCCUAAGAACAGAUCCAACCUCCCUCCCCUGUUUCCUUCACGUUACUGAUUAGAGAGCUUGUCUCUAAUAGGACAGCCCUAAAUUCAGAAUUCGAAACUUCUCCCUCCUCCCCGGGGACAAUUCCAGCCCUGUAAUUGAAGUUCCAAGAAAAUUGAAAUCAUUUAUCUCUUUUUAUCUCUAAUGUAAAAAAAUAUAGAAAUACUAUAACUUUUGCUGGAAAAACCCCUGCAACUGUG